rnacentral:rRNA from 1 species
GACGAACGCUGGCGGCGUGCUUAACACAUGCAAGUCGAACGGUAAGGCUCCAGCUUGCUGGGGUACACGAGUGGCGAACGGGUGAGUAACACGUGGGUGACCUGCCCUGCACUUCGGGAUAAGCCUGGGAAACUGGGUCUAAUACCGGAUAGGACUGCACCGUGAGGGUGUGGUGGAAAGUUUUUUCGGUGUGGGAUGGGCCCGCGGCCUAUCAGCUUGUUGGUGGGGUAAUGGCCUACCAAGGCGGCGACGGGUAGCCGGCCUGAGAGGGUGGACGGCCACAUUGGGACUGCGACACGGCCCAGACUCCUACGGGAGGCAGCAGUGGGGAAUAUUGCACAAUGGGCGGAAGCCUGAUGCAGCGACGCCGCGUGGGGGAUGACGGCCUUCGGGUUGUAAACUCCUUUCACCAUCGACGAAGGGUUUCUGACGGUAGAUGGAGAAGAAGCACCGGCUAACUACGUG